AUUUGUGAUUUUCAAUUGUGGGUUUUCAUUAAUUUGAUUGAUCGAUUAAAUAGGAUUAGCAGGAAAGCAUGAUUCAUGGGAUUGCAUGGUCCUCGGAGUGUGCAUCUAACUGGUUAUUAUCUUGGACGUGAUGCUGAUUCUGGACAUGAAGAAUACGAUGAUGAUGAUGAAUGUGACUCUAUGGAUGGUAUUUCUGGGGAGGAUUGGGACUCUGAGGAAUUCAAGUAUGAUUCUGAUAAUGAUGAGUACCUUGAGGAUGACGGUGAGGAUCUUGAUAUGUUUCCAUCAGGCAAGAGUGCAGGAGAUAGAGGAUAAUGAGAAACCUACUGAAAAUUGGAAUGCAAACAGCAAAUAUCUUAAGAACUCAGAUGAACAGAGAAAUGUUGUUGAUGGUUUCGAUUGUUGUUCGGAUUUGAGUUGGAGUUGACAUGUUCAAAGGGUUUUGUGUGAUUCAAAUCAGUUAUGGUGGUAAGAAUUCAUGGGUUUUGUUGUCGUCGAUUGACCAAGAAAUCAGGGAAAUACUGGAAAUAACCUGAAGGUGUGAAGAUUUUGAAUCUUGAAGUUUGAACCUGAGACAGGAAACAACAAGAGAGCUAGGCUGUUCUUGGUGCUGGUAAAGAAGCUGUUUGCCAAGAUGUUGAUGGUUCAGGUUGGCUCGAGUUUGAGAUGUUCUUAUAGAAAUCUUGUAAUUGCAAUACAAUACAAGUGUGUAUGCUGGUUUCCGAGAGUCCUAUAAGAACCUCGGGCAAAGUAGUUAUCAGGAAUCAGAUUGCAUCUUGUAAUUGCAUUAUGCUUUCACUUUUCAAUAUGACCUGUCGUGGUUUUGUAUUUUAUUGAGUUCAUUUUCCACCUCAGUUUUAGGUAUGCGACGGCUAGUUUCUUCUCCUAUGAUGGCAUGUUUUUUCAAUGGGUGGAAGAGACACCUCAAGCAUGAAACCUUCUUAAACUCAUCACUCAGCUGCUGCAACUACACAAAGAUCUCAUGCAUCUAGACAUCAGAUGGACCUAGACCGGUGUCUCCUCUUCUUACCCAGGGAUCCCCAGUUCAAGAGAAGUUUGCUAUGCAGAAGCCCCCUAGCAGACAUAAGUAUCUGACUGAAAGGCAGAAAUCUGAUGUAACUAAACAUAUGUAUUUUGCUUCCAAGCAUCAGUGCUCUGACUCUCAAGAGAUAUCUCAAUAUACGGCAUUGAAAUACAAAACUAGACUCCCAGUAUUACUUUUCAUCAAUCAGCAGCAAAAAAGAUAAUGCAUGGAGUUCCACUUCAUGAUGAUUGCAUGAGAGUUUCGUAGCUUGGCCAAAAGCACUUGCGACCUCUUGCUCUAUUGUUUUUGCUGCAGAUAGAGCCACUUGUAGAUCCCAAUGAACAUGGUGCUGCCCCAAAGGCCAAGUAGAUGAAGAACAAGAAAUCUCCAGCUAUGAAUGCUCAGAGAACCAGCAAGAGUCAUUGAGAGAAAUAGUACCUUAGACUGCGAAUGUUCAGACUUUUUGAAUCGCCAAUUGAAUAUUUUAUGUUUUAAGGUUUUGCACGACUGAUC